rnacentral:misc_RNA from 1 species
GAUGAAGAACGUAGCGAAAUGCGAUAAGUAAUGUGAAUUGCAGAAUUCAGUGAAUCAUCGAAUCUUUGAACGCACAUUGCGCCCAUUAGUAUUCUAGUGGGCAUGCCUGUUCGAGCGUCAUUAAGUCCACUUAAGCCCUGCUUAGUGUUGGGAGACUGCUCCAGCGGUGCUACCCUGUAGCUACCCUGCAGCUCCUCAAAGACAGCGGCGGAGUUGUGGUAUCCUCUGAGCUUAGUAACUUGUUCUAGCUUUCGAGUACACCACUUCCCCUGCCGUAAAACCCUUAAUUUUUAAUGGUUGACCUCGGAUCAGGUAGGGAUACCCGCUGAACUUAAGCAUAUCAAUAAGCGGAGGA